rnacentral:sRNA from 1 species
AUGGCUGUCGUCAGCUCGUGUCGUGAGAUGUUGGGUUAAGUCCCGCAACGAGCGCAACCCUUAUCCUGUGUUGCUACCGGGUAAUGCCGGGCACUCUCAGGAGACUGCCGGGGUCAACUCGGAGGAAGGUGGGGAUGACGUCAAGUCAUCAUGCCCCUUAUGUCCAGGGCUGCAAACAUGCUACAAUGGCCGGUACAACGGGCUGCUACCUUGCGAGAGGACGCGAAUCCCUUAAAGCCGGUCUCAGUUCGGAUUGGAGUCUGCAACCCGACUCCAUGAAGUCGGAGUCGCUAGUAACCCCGGAUCAGCUACGCCGGGGUGAAUACGUUCCCGGGCCUUGUACACACCGCCCGUCACACCACGAAAGUCGGUAACACCCGAAGCCAGUGGCCCAACUCGCAAGAGAGGGAGCUGUCGAAGGUGGGAUCGGCGAUUGGGGUGAAGUCGUAACAAGGUAGCCGUACCGGAAGGUGCGGCUGGAUCACCUCCUUUCUAAGGAGUCACCACGUCCUCUCUUUACCGAGGGGGCGACUCCCAGUUGGUGCACUGGCUAGUCCGCUAUUCCGUUCUCUGGGUGCGCCGUUUGUCGCGACACACGCCGGCUUUCCAUCCCCCCGGGGCUUGGGGCCGGCGUUUCCGCGUUCCGUGCGCCGCUCCUUGAGAAUUGCAUAGCGAGCACGAGCAUCUUUGUUCUUCCAAGCUACAAAGAGCCAACGGUGGAUGCCUUGGCGUCUACUACCGAUGAAGGACGUGUCUGGCUGCGAAAAGCCACGGUCAGCUGCCUAGAAAGCGUUAUGAGCCGUGGAUGUCCGAAUGGGGAAACCCGG